AAGAGAUUUUGAUUUUCUAAGAUUUGGUGGAAAUCCAUUACAUGUAA
rnacentral:tRNA from 1 species